rnacentral:lncRNA from 1 species
AUUUAUCUUUUUUUUUUUUUUUUUUUGGUAAAAAGCACUGUGCACAUAAAUACUUCUGCAAGGAAGUACAAAGUUGGCUGCCUUUCUCUAGACACAGAAUGAAUAUGUGAAAAAUACAGUGUUUAGUAUGAAUGAGAAGAGCCAAAUCUGUGCUUGAAAUGAUGUGUUGGGAGAGAGGGAUAGGAGCUGAACGUUGAAGGAUGGGCAGCAAUGAGAAGGAAACACAGGUUGGAAGUUACUUCAGGGACUUGAGGGACUUGAUCAAGUCUUGUGGACUCAUCAGGGCGUUGGGUGAGACCCAGGGUACAGGUGUUGUUCUGUUAUUAAUAGUGGGGCCAUGAACAAAUCAGUCAGUUUUCACAAUCUAUUAUUCAGUGAUAAUAAAACAUUUUCCCUUCUGUAACUGCCCCCCCCCAGGAACAUUGAAAGCAAAACAAUUAAUAGGUAAAAAUUCAGUCCAAAAUCCAUGAAAGCACAAUACUGUAUACUGAGGUGGUAUUGAUUAUGGCAUUGCUAGAUCCUACCUGCCAAGUCCUUGAUACGGAAUGUAAGUUCUGAAAGGUAAAUAAUUGAAAAUUAGUAAACUGCAUUUUAUCUUUGGGAUUCUUUUAGUCACAGCUCUUUGAUCCUUUUUGCAAACCAGGAUGAUAUUUGACACUUCAGAAAAAAAAGCGAAAACAAACCAAAGUUGGCUGUUUAUAUGAAUAAGAAUUAUCCUUCACAGGAAUGUGGAAAAGACGCAUUCAGGGAAGAGAAGCAAUGCGAGAUCAUCAAACCCCGGGAACUCACCCCAACACAGUUACUGGUUAAUGAUCUGGAAGCCUCAACUCCCUCGAGUUAAAGACUGUCCCCACUGACGGAUCACGGUGUAUAUCACGGUCUGCAGCAGUGGUAGUUUGCAAGGGCUCCCCUGUGCCGGAACUACCAGCUUUAUGGAAACUACAUAAAAUUUUCAAUUUUAUGUUGGAUUCACUGAAGACAGUUAAGUGUAGCGUAUCACCACAUUAACACCUGUCAAAUUCCUACAUUUGGGAUUUCUCAGACCUAUGUUUUAAUGGCAGUCACAAAAGUGGUCUUGACUCGGAUGAAGAAAGAUAGCAUAUCUAUUAAGUGUGCUGUCAAAGCCAACAAGCACCACCUUAUCGUGUUCCUAUUUUAGGAUUCUUAGGCUUAAGGGAUUCAGUGUGGAGAAGAGAAUACUGGUUGGGAAUUUAGAUCUUCAAGUGGCUGAAGGCAUAUUAUAUAUAGAUGGUAUUAAGAGAACAAGGGUGAAGCAAGUGGGCUUAUAUUGUAGAAGGAGAUUUAAGCUAGGUAUUAUGAAGUCUUGUCAAGGACUUGAUAUAUUGAAACAUUAGUGGGGGAGAAUAGAGUGUCUUGGGUAGAGGUUUUAAAAGAAAAGGAUUCAUUUUCAGGGAUGGUUUAAGUUUAUAUGUCUUGAGAGAUUGAAGGGAGAAGUAUGUGAUCUUUCGAGGGUAUCACACAGACCUAAGUCUAUGAAAAUUGCUUUCCUUUAUAUAGAGAUAGAAGUUCAAGUAACAUGGAAAAACCAGAACGUAAAACAAGAACAAGUAAUUUUCUGCCAUACAGUACUUCAUUAGUGACUGGUACCUGCGUAUUAAUUAUACUAAGGUGAGGUCUUGUUUAGAUCCACUUUUGGAAAGGAUGAUUGUGAUUUAUGAAAUAAAGCCACAUCAGGUUUAGGAUGUUUACA